UCCGAGUUGACCCCGGCAGUCUCCCAUGAGUCCCCGGCAUAACCCGCUGGCAACAUGGGACGAGGGUUGCGCUCGUUGCGGGACUUAACCCAACAUCUCACGACACGAGCUGACGACAACCAUGCACCACCUGUGCACCGACCUUGCGGAACCACCAUCUCUGGCAGCGUCCGGUGCAUGUCAAGCCUUGGUAAGGUUCUUCGCGUUGCAUCGAAUUAAUCCGCAUGCUCCGCCGCUUGUGCGGGCCCCCGUCAAUUCCUUUGAGUUUUAGCCUUGCGGCCGUACUCCCCAGGCGGGGCACUUAAUGCGUUAGCUGCGGCACGGAACUCGUGGAAUGAGCCCCACACCUAGUGCCCAACGUUUACGGCAUGGACUAC
rnacentral:misc_RNA from 1 species